UCAUUUAUUUACUUUAUUUUAUUUUUAAUCAUAUUUUCGUCAGGACUAAAUAUCAUUUGCAAUGUUUGUGUUUUCAGGAUCCUUUUCCCUAACCUUUACAAGAUGCAGAACUUUGAUGACAUGCACGUGGCUUUCAGAGAUGACGCCCAGAGGGAGCGUUACAUAGUUCUCUACCAGCGCCCUAUGGCACCUACACGCUAUCCGGACUAGGAUUGCAUGGAUGCCCUAGGCAUUGAGCCAAGCAUCAGAUUCAUGUGGCACCAACUCCAAUGGGAUGAAUUCGCUGAUGACAUGAACAACACCUACAGGAACCUAAC
rnacentral:lncRNA from 1 species